rnacentral:lncRNA from 1 species
CUUGGCAAAGCAGAAGCCCUCCGUGGCAGUGCUUGUGUGUCGGGGCUCCGAGGCUCCGGCCUGACCUCUCCACGGGGGCGACGGGAACUUCUCCAGAUGCCAGGAGUCGCAAAGGGCCGACCACCAUGAGGAAACCCCAGGCGGGGACGGGGGAAGCAGCACGGGAUCCCAGCCUCAGGCCUGCCCGGAUGGUGUUGGUUGGGAGUGCAGUGAAUAGAAGACACUUCUCUGCACCCCAAAAGCUCCAUGCUGAUUGCGAGAAGGAAAUGCUGGAUGGAGGGCUUCCUGGAACUACUGUGAGGGAAAUGGUAGAGAACUUUGGAUGUGGAACGUGGAGUAUGAGGAACACGAAGUGAAGGUCCGCACUUCGGGUGGUCAGCACUGCCAUGCCCAGCAAAGGCACUGCCUGGUCCACAUCCCAGAGGGGUCUCUGAGCCCCAGUCGGCAUCGCAGCUGAUGGUGAAACUUUUGGUGUGGCAGUAGAGUGUCUACAAACUUUAGAAGGUAUCCGCUGCCUCCUCCAUAGCCGUGUAUCACUGCCGAGGGCGAUCAUCUCUAGGAUCGGAACGUCCUGCUCAUGGGCCAGGGCUGGCUGGCUGGAGCCACUUGCGUGGCGCAGCCCUGGCUGAGGUUCAGGCGGCCCCGGUGUCGCAAGCGGCUGUGAGUGAUGCCUCCUUGGGGCCGGAGGGGUCCCAGGAAGGCGGCUGACCAGCACGCAGCAUGGUGGCCGGCCGCGAUGGAAGGUGACGGGGUUCGCAGCGCCAGGGGAUCCAGCAGAGCCCGAGCCCGGGCAUCCCGCGUCUCCAGCAGCACCGCGGGUAGGCCUGGCGCUGGUGACGUGGCGGCCAGUGCACAAGGCCCACGACCCAGCCCCAGAGGCCAGCCCAUCGUCAGCUAACUUCAGGAACCCCGGGCCAGCUUGAGGCCCCGGGCCCCACGGGCAAGACAAAGGGCAGAGGGCCGCAGGCGGGGCCAAGAGCAGGCAGUUCAGGCCUGGCUCCACCGCUGCGGAGCUCGCAGGGCGCAGCAGGCACCAGGCAGCGACCAGGGCUUCCAGAGGAGGCUGUGCACCCCUGCAAAGGCUCCUGCCCGGCGUCCGGCCUAUCCGUGGGGAUUCCACGUGCACCCCCUCCUCAUUGUCCUUGUCUAGGGCCGCGGCAAGGUCCUCGCUCCCAUGGCGUGACUCCGGGGGCGCAGGAGCCUGGGCCGAGCAGGUGGAGUACGGUGAGCUCCGCCAAGAACCCAGCGAGAGUGGCGCCCCAGGGAGGCACAGGAGGCUGCAUUUAACGUGUCAAUCAUCUCAAAGAUUUUAUAGCAUCUUCUUUUUCUUGACAUCUUAUAAUAUCUGUAAUGUCUAUUAUAUCUUAUAAUUAUUAAAACCACUUCAUUGUGA